rnacentral:rRNA from 1 species
AUGCAAGUGCACACAGGGUUGGGGAGGAAACCAGAUGGAACCAUUGAUGCUAACUCUGAGUUCUGGAUAACACACACAAAGAAGAAACCAUACCUAAGGAAGUUGCAGUGGGGUCCUCCAGCAAACGAGGAGUUGCUUGAUCGACUCUUCAGAGGUUACACUGUGGAUGAAAGCACAGCCUUUGUGCCUGGAGAUGAUUAUGAUCAGAAUCAAGGGCAAGACGAUGCAGGGGCAGAAGAGGAAGAGGAGGGGUUUCAAGGAACACCUACAAGUACAAGCAACCAAAGGAGCCAGAGGGGCAAGAGGUCAUUAAGCACUUCAAGCACUUUGACCAGUCCAUUGAAGAAGAGCAAGAGCCCAAUGAUGAAGAUUGUCAAGGACAUAGCCAAUACCUACAAGGAGUCUGUCGCAGCCAACACUAAGCAAAUGCAGAAAUGUGCAAAUGAGAAGGCUACAUUUUCUGUGAAGAGGUGUCAGGAGCUGGCGUUUGAGUGUGGCGUUGAGCAAACAGUUGAAUCUGUCUAUGCUAUGUCUAAGAUGUUCGAAAUAGAGUACCAAAGGGAGUUCUUUUGUGGCAUAUUAACUCCUGAGCUUAGGUUGGUUUACUUCAAGAAAUGGUGCAGGGACAACAAUUUGGAGUAG